rnacentral:lncRNA from 1 species
GGAAACCGAUACCCCUCUGUAACGGCCCGAACCGCCACCGGCGCUAGGAUCCAGAUCGGCUUAAGGCCGCCGGGACCCGUAGCAAGCCAAACAUACAUACUAUUACCUGGUCAAAUCCCAUACAUGAUUAAAAACUUUAACAUGAAACCUGAAAUCUGAACAUACACCAAGCUUGAUUCGUAAGUUGCAACAUAACUGUGAACAUAAACUUUCCCAUGCUAGAGUCAUCAUCAAAUGCUCUAGCUGGGUCAUCAUUACAUACAUCAAGCCUGGUUCUCAACUCAACAUAAAAACAUUUCAUAAUCAUGCGUCAACAGGGAUUAACCAGUCUAUAGGGCCAAGCACACUCUAAUCCAUAAACAUUAACUCUACUAUCAGCUACAUACAUUAUCUCAAAUUACAUUACAUCAUCUUAUAUUACAUGUCCACUUCUAAAACUACUAAACUGCUACAAAACAUAAACUAUUACAUACAUAACUUAACUUAGCCUUGACUUUACCCUGCUGCCUCUGAACUCUGACUCAACCUGCAACACUGGGGUUAGGGGAAAGGGAUGAGCUAAAAAGCCCAGUGAGUAGAAACAGAGAAAACAGUUCAUUAAUUACAUGCUUUCAUGAAAUGCGUCAUAACACAAGUAAAUCACAUAACUUGUCCGUCUCGGGGCUCAUGCAAUAUUUAUUCCCCACGGACCCUGGUUUCUGAGAGUCUGUCUUUUUGCAUGCAUCUUUCCUCUCAGAGGAUGGACAUGACAUCAAAAAUCCCUCUGUCGGUGCCCGGCUCCCCCAUAGGAGCUCACAAAGGCCUGUAACAUACAUGACAUGGUGUCUGAUCCACAGAGAGCUCACAUGGACUUUCCUACAUGUACUUGUCCGGCUCUCAAAGGACUAAGACAAGACUCGUGACAGAUAUGGGCUAUUGAAGUCGCCUCGGUCCACCCUUCCUCUAUCAACAUCAAAUAAUGCAAUGCGUCAUAUUCGUGAAACUAGUGCAAUCAACCUACUACAUAUAAUCAUGAUGCAUGAACAUGCUUUAGGCAUUAGAUUUUGUGCAUAAAAGAUUAAGUUUAGUUCUACUCACAUCCUGGCAGACGCUGACUGACUCUGCAACUGCUAGCAUUACUGGCCUCCUCGGUCCCUCGGGUCCGAUCCUACACAGGUGGACUCGAAUGAGGUGCCAAACACAUUCUAACAACUCAUAAACAACUCCCCAAAAACCCCUCUAAACAUCACUUAAUCAUGCAUGGAAAACACCCAAGAAACGGCUGGACAGGGCACUUUCGGCGGCACCUUCGGCGGCCGAAAGUCCCUUCCAGAGACGAAACUCGGGUAGGUUCGGCGGCAGGUUCGGCGGCCGAAACCCUAGGACAGAAACGAAAGUCCCUCCUUCGGGGGCACAUUCGGCAGCCUAAAGACUGCCUCCCAUGCAGGUUCGGCGGCCGAAACUCCUUUCGGCGGCCGAACCUGGUCCCCUCUGGACGACAGGUCCGAUUCUGCCAAGCCAAAAAACCAAACUCAACAUACCCAAAUCCUUACAUACUCUCUCCCAACAUGCAUACUCACUCCCACAAGCAUAAAGGAGCAUAAACUAACAUAAACUCCUCAACACAAACAUCACAUAACAUACACUGGGUAUAAAACCCACAUAAACCUAAACAUGCCAUUCUACCCAUUCAAAACUCCAAUAAACUUACUUAAAACUCAUUAAAACAUAAAAGGAAGCAUAGAUCUACACUUACCUCUUGAAGAUCGAGGGUUGCGUGAUCUCUAACUCGGAGGUAUGGAGAAUCCAAGCUCCAAAAGCUCCAAGCUCCCAAAACUCCUUUUAAGCUUUAAAUCUUCAAACACAAAGGUAGAAAUCAUGAAAAACUUGAGAGAUGGGUAGAGAAAACACGAAAACGACCAAAGGAAGGCAUAAACUCACCUGAGCUCGAGAAUGGGGAGAAAACUCACCCAUUUCCGAUCUGAGGGCCUUUUAUAGGUGGCCUGGUCGAAGACCUUCGGCAGCCUAACGUGCCCCCUAAACUCAUGCAUGUUCGGCGGCCGAACUUGACUUUCGGCGGCCGAACCUUGGCUCGUUUAAACAAGACUUUCGGAGGCCAAAGGCGCUCCCGAAGCCUUCCCAUGUUCGGCGGCCGAACUCCACUUUCGGCGGCCGAACCUGGCAAUUGCCUCCUUGGUCUUUUCCCUUCAAAACUCAAUUCUCUUUCCUUUUAAAACCAUGAAAUCAUGUGAAAACAUUUUAGAAAACACAUUUUACCCCUUCUAGAGAGAUCCAACACCUUAGAUUCCGCCGGAAGGCAGGAAUCCCGAUGCCGGAUUCUAGCCGGGUAUUACAUAUCCAGUGCUGAGGUCAUGUUGUCCUUGCUUUAUUUCUAUUCGCCCUGCCAAUCAGCCCAGUUCAAGAUUUUAUCCAGUGCCUGGACAAAAUUGAUCACAGCAAUAUCGUAACGCCUUGGCAAGAUUCUAGGCUUUCUCUUGCUCUAAGCAAGGGAGUGAGCUUUUGAGCAUUUUUCAGCCUUGGUUAGCUUCUAGGCAUUCUCUAGCCCUAGCGCAUUUUUGGGCAUUCCCUACCCUUAGCGAGCUUCCGUGCAUAUUCCAGCCCUGAUGAGCUUCCGUAUAUUUUCUAGCCCUAUUGUUCUUUCGGGCAUUUUCUAGCUCUGACGAGCUUCCGAGUAUUUUCUUGUCCCAAUAAGCCCUAAUGAGCUUCUGGACAUUUUCUAGUCUUGAUGAGCUUCUGGUCAUUUUCCUCCUUACAGACUUUGCUCUCUCACUUAGCAGUCCGUCCUGCCUUCGUCUGUCACACCCAAACCCAAAACUAUAAAGAUGGAUAUGACCAGGAAAACUGACAGAACUUCCCCUAAAAUUUAUACAUAUAACCUGCUAUAAUUUCAAAACAUUAAGCAUAUAAGAGAAAAACUGAUAGUUGGACCUGUCAAUUCAUUAAAUAUUUACAAUCAACAAAAUACUAUUUCCACUGGGCUGUACAAUCUAUACAUAAUCUAUCAAAAUUACAAAAAGAAAAGACAAAAGACUUAGGAUUGGUCCGACCUCCUCUAAACUCUGAGUGGAUGAUGUGGAAGGAAGGACAAACAAGAAUAUGAGGACUGCUGAGCAGAUCACCAAAAAGGAACUGUAAAGUAAAAGAAAUAUAAGGGUGAGUACAAACUACUCAGUGAGCGGAUAAAUAAACAACAAAGGGGAAAAGAUAAGUUUAGGUAUUUCGGCAUAGCUAGACCUCCCAAAAAUACCCAAACUCAACAAAAAUACUCAAUAAGCUGUAAAUAUUAUUUAAAUCAACCUAUGAAAAUCAUUAAUCCCAAAAAUAAAUAUUAAAACUCAUUAAUUGGAUCUAACUAAAACAGAACCCAUUUUUAUCCUCAAAUCACAAAAAUCACUAUUAAAAGGUAAAGAAAAUAAAUUAUAUCGUAAAAAUUGAAUAAAAGGAAUAAAACUCACCUACCCAAAUUUUGGAGCCUCUGGAAGAAAUUAUUGAAUUUUUAAGCAGAAUAUAGGUUUAAUCAGGAUCUAGCUGAAGGAUCUUAGAAGUUUAUGGGUUGAGGGGAGGAGAUUUGGAUUAAAGAAAAAGAAAUUUUUUUUUUUUUUUANNNNNNNNNNNNNNNNNNAACUUUGGUUUCGGGACAUUCUCGAAACCAGAGCUUAAAAGCUCUUUUUUUUAUGGGCCUGGGCUUGGGCCUGAUAUCGUCAAUCAUAAAAAAGUCUCGUUCGCCUACAAUGGGCCUUCUUCCUUCGCAAAAAAUUUUGGAUUUCCAAGAGUGAUUGUAAGAGCAGUGUCAAAUGCCUUGGAAACUUCUUGUGAAACGGGAUUGACACCCGGUUGGUCGGCCUAGCGUAUACCCGCCUUGUAGCCUGGCAUCAAAUGUAUUAGAAACAUUUUGUGAAACGGGACUAAUACCUAAUUGGUCUACCUGGCGUAUACCCACCUUGUGGCCUAGUAUCAAAUGUCUUAGAAACUUCUUGGAACUAACACCCGGUUGGUAGGUCCGGCAUAUACCCGCCUUAUGGUCUGGCAUCAAAUGUCUUAGAAACUUCUUGGGAUUAUUACCCAAUUGGUCAGCCUGGCGUAUACUCGCCUUGUGAUAUGGCAUUAAAUGCUUUAGAAAUUUCUUGGACUAACACCCAGUUUGUGGACUGGCGAAUUGUGGCCUUGCAGAAUCUACCUUAUGGUCUUAUUUAGCGGGACUAACACCCAGAUUGUGGCCUAGCGGAAUCCACCUUGUGGCCUUUAACGAAUGCUCUUUAAUCUUUUUAAAGAAGGCAACCCCAACAUUCCUUGUCUCUGAAGAACACAACACAUGAAAAAAUAUGUCGCUAACUUUCAUUGAUAAAUUUUCUCAAUAUUCCAAGAGUGUGAAAUGACUCAGCUAUCUAACUUGGCUAACUUAUAGGACCAUGGAUGAAUAACCUUCGAGAUUCUAAAUGACCAUUUUCAGUUUUUGCCUAACUUACCAGACCUAACACCACUGCCUGUUACGUCUAUUCUUUCAAGAACUAAGUCCUCCACAUUAAAAGCACGUAACUUGACUCUAUUGUUGAAUAUUCUGGAUAUUUUACUCCUGUAAACUGCCACUCUGACUUCCUUUCUUUAGGACUUCCUGAAAUAUUUUGCUCCUGUAAACUACCACUCUGACUUCUUUUCUUUAGGACUUCCUGAAAUCUUAGGGUGCUUGCAUGCGCUUGACAUCGAUGACACUUUUGGACAAGCUCUUUUGUGUCUUGCAUUAUCAUUGGUUAGUAGUAUCAUUGUCAGAAUGCUUUUUGGGCGAUCGUCCGAACUCCUUCGUAAUUUUCACAAUUACUUUUAUGAAUGUCUUUAAGGUUUCUCGGCCCUCAUCUUCUAUUACGCAUUAAGCUAUGGUUGAGUUGAAGAUCUCCUAUACAACCGAUCAUUAAUUAGUAUAUAUUUAGAGAAUUUUUUUAUUACCUGUUUAGCCGACCAUUCAUUGGCCGGCAGAUCAUCUUGUGUCAAAAACUUAUAUACGGGUGUCAUCCACGAUUCUCCUUCCUCUGCCGCCGCCGUUUUGGCCAGAAAUCAGCCUCUUCGUUAUCGCCUCUAGUCAUUUAGUGAAGUUCGCAGUUGCUCUCAUUAGUAGUAACUUUAGUAGCAGCUCGUGAAUCACCGGCUAUUUCGAGAGAGAGAAGAGAAAGAUUUCUUUUUAAGAGAAAGAGGUUAAGAAAGCAGUUUUUAAUCCAAAUGAAUAGAGAGAGUUCAGUAGAAUUCCCAACAAUCAAAACCAAAUGAUGCGACCGAAAUGAAAUUGUGUUGUGAUUGUUCAAUUCUACAAGAAAAUAUAACAUAAGAUAGUUGGCGCCUACGGCAGUCACUCCGACGUUUAAGUCAGUAAACUAGAGAAUAGGGCAAAUGUAAGGAGAACUCAAAAGUAGUUGUGUAAGAAUUGCGUACUUUGAUAUAUGUCAUCACUAGUUUUUAUACUAUAAGAAAAAGAAAUAAAUUAUAGAAUUUUCUGAAAAUCCGACAAAUCUUUCUCUACAUUGGUGAAACCACAUAUGAAUUUGUUAAAUUCUUAUAAUGUGACCUUAUUUUAUGAUAAUCUUAUCUUAUGAACAGUUCAUGAUUUACCUCCAACGAUUAUUUUGUAAUAUCACUUUCAUGAUUUACCUUGUACGAUUGUUUUGUAAUAUCACUUUUCAUUCAAUUUUAAAUUAUAAGUAAUUUUUAUUAAUUUAUUAAUAUAUUCCAUCUUAAUAUAAAUAAAAAAUAUUAAUUUUGAUAAUAAUUUAACUAUAAAUUAAUAUAAACAGAGAAUAUGUUGAAAAAAUAAUAUAAAUUAAUCUAUUAAUUAAACUAUAUUAACUCUAUUUUUAUAAUUCAUGUUAAACAACUAUUGAAUUUUUGUAAUACCAUUCUAUUUGUUGCUUUCUUUUUGCCAGAUAAAGAGUUUGCUUCUGAAUUCUGUGUCUUUAAUAUGUAAGAAAGAAAGAAUCUUUAUCAUUGUGUACGAGAGUUCACUUUCAACUUU